rnacentral:rRNA from 1 species
AGAGUUUGAUCAUGGCUCAGGAUGAACGCUAGCUACAGGCUUAACACAUGCAAGUCGAGGGGCAGCGAAUGGUCUUUAGCUUGCUAAGGUCCGAUGGCGACCGGCGCACGGGUGAGUAACACGUAUCCAACCUGCCGUCUACUCUUGGACAGCCUUCUGAAAGGAAGAUUAAUACAAGAUGGCAUCAUGAGUCCGCACGUUCACAUGAUUAAAGGUAUUCCGGUAGACGAUGGGGAUGCGUUCCAUUAGAUAGUAGGCGGGGUAACGGCCCACCUAGUCUUCGAUGGAUAGGGGUUCUGAGAGGAAGGUCCCCCACAUUGGAACUGAGACACGGUCCAAACUCCUACGGGAGGCAGCA